CACGGGGGGAGCAAGCGUUGUUCGGAAUCACUGGGCGUAAAGGGCGUGUAGGCGGUCAGGUAAGUGGGAUGUGAAAGCCCUCGGCUCACCCGAGGAUCUGCAUCUCAAACUGCCUGGCUUGAGUAUGGGAGAGGAUGAGGGAAUUCCUGGUGUAGCGGUGAAAUGCGUAGAUAUCGUAAGGAAGACCAGUGGCGAAGGCGGGUCUCUGGACAGUUCCUGACACUGAGACACGAAGGCCAGGGGAGCAAACGGG
rnacentral:rRNA from 1 species